rnacentral:rRNA from 1 species
UACGUAGGGGGCUAGCGUUGUCCGGAUUUAUUGGGCGUAAAGAGCGUGUAGGCGGCCAGGUAGGUCUGCUGUGAAAACCCGAGGCUUAACCUCGAGAUGUCGGCGGAAACCAUCUGGCUAGAGUCCGGAAGAGGAGAGUGGAAUUCCUGGUGUAGCGGUGAAAUGCGCAGAUAUCAGGAAGAACACCCGUGGCGAAGGCGGCUCUCUGGGACGGUACUGACGCUGAGACGCGAAAGCGUGGGGAGCGAACAGG